ensembl:lncRNA
AAAGAAGUUCCUUGCUUGUCUUGCUGACAUCAGCUUUCUUAUGCAACUGUGAUGAAGAGGCAAUCCCAUGGUGAAAGUGCACACAGCUCAUUCCUGCAAGACUUUGCACUGUUCACAGCUCCUCCUGAACCCUGCACCCUAAGAUCCAAGCAGAAAAUAAUGAGCAAAAUAUUAGCAAAAUCCGUGGGUCUAGACAUAUCUUAAUUACCAGUUUGGACUCCAUUCUGACUGAAGAGAUGAAGUGAACAUUGGCUUUAAGUUUUCAAGUACACCCAGCUAAGCUACGCCUUCCAAACAUCAUACAUAAGGCAGGGAGUAUCCUGUUCAGUGUCAGAACAGAUGGCAGAAAGCUUGGAGGAAUUACUGCUUUGCAGGCAGGACAAAAGAACGAGAGCCCAAAUGCAGCCAGCCAGCUGAGAGCACACUGCUGCUCCUGCAAAGCUCUUCAAGGAGAAAUGCUGACACAGCCAUUUCCGGCACUAUUUGCUGCUGCAAGGAAUACUUAAGACCUGCAGAAGACCUGUUUUCAUGGAAACGUUGUCUACUAAGCAGUAGCAGACUGCUUCAUCUUAGACUUGAUCAUCACAGAGCGAAGAGGAAAACCUACAGCACUGAGAAAAGCAGUAUAGAACAUGGGCAACCAGAGGCUGUCUCAUAUUCGGGACCACCAGGUAUGAUGACCACACUGAUGGGAUAUUUCUGGGGCAAAGACAACCUACCCAACUGGAAACACACGUAUAUCGAGAGUGGCUGCUCUUGUCAAAAACUACAGUGGACUGAUUUCACUUUCCAGUGGUGGAUGGAGCAUCUCAAACCUUAGACAGAAUCCCAUCCCCUCAUCCUCCCUGCACAAAACCCCAUCUCCCCAUGGGAAGCAUGCAGGACAGAUUUCUGCUCUUUGCUGAUGUCUUUGUCCGGGCAGCUCCUCAUAGCAGCCUGCAGCUUCCUCAUGGCAGCCUAUAAGCGAUAGCCUGAGCCCUUUCAUUUCUUGUUAGCAAGCCAUAUUAGUCCCUAAAACAACUCCCCUCCACUUGCUCACCUUGAACUACAAGAACUCAUUUCUCGUUCAUCCACACAGCAUCAUAAACAGAGCCGCAGUGGCAUGAGGGGACAGCAGCAUGGGGGAAAAUGGCUCUCUUUAAUGAGAUGCAUCCCUGUCUUGCCACCCCUCCAUGUGCCCCACUGCCUCCCUCACCCUCUGCUAGGUCUGGAUCAGAAGCAGAGCACGUCUCUCCAUUCCUUUCCAAGAGACGGACCCCUGCAGAGGCGAGGAGAUUAACACCGCUGGGCUGUGCCAAACGGCAGGCUGAUUCCUCAAUCUGGCUUGGUUUGCAAGUGGAGACACCAGGAAUGGGUUGUAGUGGGAUGCUCUCGGCGUUGAUCCAGGGAGGACUUUCUGGUCCGAUGAGCCUGGACAUUGAAGUCCUCUGACAGAGAGCCAGAGAUACUUCAGGAGAAGAGAGGGCUUAUCUGGAGAAGAGGAGGCUCAGGGGAGACCUUAUCACUCUCUACACUACAGCUACCUGAAAGAAGGUUGUGGUGAGGUGAGGGUCAGCCUCUUCUCCCAUGGAACUAGCGAUAGGAUGAGGGGAAAUGGCCUCCAGUUGCACCAGGGGAGGUUCAGUUUGGGAGUUAGGAAACAUUUCUUCUCCAAAAGAGUGGUCAGGCACUGGAAUGGGCUGCCCAAGGAGGUGGUUGAGUCACCGUCCCUGAAGGUGUUCAAGAAACAUCUAGAUGUUGUACUGAGAGACAUGGUUUAGUGGGGAAAUAAUGGCGGUAUGUUGAACUCGAUGGUCUUGGAGGUCUUUUCCAACUUUGGUGAUUCUAUGAUUCAACUUUGCUCUGAGGUGCUCUGUCAGCAGAGCCUUCCUGCCUGUCCUCCAAUGAGUUUGGAGAGAGAGAAGUAUUUACACACUUCUGGAGAAGAAAACUGGAGAGAGAAGUCCGAUGGGGAUAGUGAGGUGGAGACAGACCGAAGAAGUUUUGAGCACAGUCAGGUUUGGCUUUAGAAGGCAAAAGACCCCAGUUCAACAUUCUCCAUUCUGCAUCCAAAGAGGAAAGGAAAACCAUCUUCAUGUGCAGGAGAACAUGAACGCCACAUCACUGGAUUGGAAUAAAUACCAACAUAAACUCUGUGGUGAUCUCAAACCUCACAUGGUCCCUUUUCUCUCUUAUUCCACCAACUCACCAUAAAUGCUGUGUUUUAUUAAGGUCGUAGCUUCACCUGGGGAGGAAGUAUCUAGGGUUUGAAACCCACUAAGAGAUGUAGAGGAUCAGUGUUGGUGAGUUUAUCCCUGUCUGCAGAGAGGAUGAAAUGUCUAAACUGAGACAGGUAAGAACUGGAAUCUGAUGGAAGACAGGGAAGAGAGGAGAACAAGAAAACUGGAAAAAGGAGAGAACUUCUAACCUACAAUCACACUGUCCGUGCUGGUUGAAAUCCAGGUAUAAACACACCCGUUUCCUUAUGUUUUACUUUUCAGAACAUGUCUUGAAGACAGAAACAGGGGUUAGAAGAGCAGAUUUUACUCCUGUGAUUAAGAUGUGCACCAUUUGACUUUGGGUUGUAAAGAAAAAGAAGAAAAAAUAAAACAAGGGAAAAAAAAAAGAGUAAUGCUUUACUAAUUAAGGCACAAUUGAAAGUGAUUGGUGUGCACUGGCAAGCUGCUCCUCUCAGAAAGAGCUGGACUGACAUCUCUACAAUCACUCAGUGAGUAAGCACUGCGAAAACACUGUUUGGCCUGGAAGGAGCUAAUAAGUGCAUAGAUAAAAUCUUAUUUUGAAAGCAACAACAAAGGGCAUGUGAUUUAUAUCUUAGUUGGUGACUUCAUAUGUUUUGCAGAGUUUCUCCAAAAUAUAUCGGAAUUCAUAAUUCAUUUUUAUAACGCAUUACAUUAAAAUAAUAAAUGUCAGGAAGUUUUUCAAGAGACUGAAAAUUCUGUAAGCAGUGCUGAGUGAUCAAAGGAGGAUUUUGACAGGGAGAGACUCCCGUUGACUUGGGGCUUUGGAUCAGACCUGACGCUGGCAACAAAAUGGACAACAGUUAAUAAAAGUGUGCCUGUUAGAACUUGGAUAAGUUGGAGCAGCUAAUUGCAGCAUCUCAACACAAGUUGGGGGAAGAUGCAUGCUGGCUGGAUCCUCACCGCUGCACGUGAUGGGAUGCUGUUGCUCGUCUACAUGGCAACAACCACGGAUGAGCCAAGACAAAGGAAGUGAUAGAGGAGGUGGAGGAGAGAGCAGGGAUUAGAGGGCUGGAGGAAAAACAACUUUCAGGGGGAGAAACCAUUCCAAAACCUACAUUUAUGCAAGGAAAAGGACUGCUGAGUUAAAAGUAGUAUAUCAUUUCUGGACUUUUUCAUUUCCUACAUGUUGGAGGAGUUAUCUCUGUGUGUUUCCAUUCUUUUUCUUAAUGGAGGCAUAUAUGACGUGUUUCUCACUCAUUGUAGUAUUUCAUGUUUUCAUGAGUGUUAACAAAAGCAUGGGACAAAGCCAAAGAGGUAACUACCCACCAUACCCUAGUGCAGCUGUUUCACGUUUAUAAAACUCAUGUAUCACCAUGCAGAAUUGGUCAGUGUUUUGCCUGUCUGUACCUGCAGGGAUGUAUUUUGCUGCAAAAUGCCAUUCAGGUUUGUGGACCACAAAAUGGAGAUGGAGAUCCCACAACUUCAGUUGUAGAGCAACCAGAACUCAUUCUCUCCUCACACAUCUAGAGCUCCACUCCCAGCCAUCCUAGUGGCCUUGCUGGGCUUUUUUCUAACCAUGCUGGUGGCCUUGCUGGGUGUUUUCCUAGCUCCUGGUACUAGGGAGCUCAAGUCCAGUGCCCAGAUGUGAUCUCAGGGUCUGAGUAGAGGGGAAGAAUUAUAUCCCCUAGCUUGCUAGCUGCCCCUUUGCAAAUUCACCUCUGGAUGUGAUCAUCCUGUGCUGCAAGUGUGGAGACAUAGUAGUGAGGACCUCAUAGUCUACCAAGAUGCCCCUGGUCUAUCCAGAUGGUCCCAGCUUGUGCUGCCACAUGGGUUAUUCCUCCUCAUAUACUGAACUCUACAUUUCUCUGCGGUGAACUUCUUGAGAUUCCUGCUAAUCCUUCUCUCCACCUCAUUUCUUCGAAUAGCAUUGCUCCUCUGCACUGCAUCAAUCACUCCUUGUUUGUGUGUCCUCUGCAGACUUGCUGAGAGGGCAGCCUGUUCACUGCCUAAGGGCUGCUUGAGCUGCCAGGUAGCUCCACAAUGACAUCCUUUGGAAAUGUGCACCACCUCCGACUUGAUCAGCUGGGCUGUACAACCUUAAUGGUAUAGAAGAUUCCAUGCAGUUUCAAGUCGUCAUCCAACUUUUAGAUGCAAGAUCUAAAGGCCCAUGUGGUACUUUAAUAUCUUGAUGAUUUACAGCUGGGAUUGAGACUUUGUCCAAACUUUCACUCCAUUUGUAUAAACCUUUCAUGCUGAUUGAGAACUCUGCAAAUGAAGUCUCUGACUUUUAUUUACACUUUAUGAAAAUUGAGUUGUUCUCAAGUGACCCUACAUCUCACCUCAGAGUGGUGAAAAUUCACAGCCACGGAGCGUGGAUUCAUGCAGACUGAGGGCUCAGUUUGUAGAUCUGAAUCUACAGAUAUUCAAAGAGAUUUUUCCCAGGGGAAAACAGUCAAAUGUGGAUGAUAAAAGUGAGUGAGUAAUGUACUGAGAGCAUAUCUUCUUACUGCAUUUGCUCGGAGUGUCUGUUUAUGAUGAAUGUAAAGCAGACCCAACAGCAGAGUUCAGUUAGGGGUGUGCGUUUAUGUGCUGGGA